rnacentral:rRNA from 1 species
UGAGGAAUAUUGGGCAAUGCCCGCAAGGGUGACCCAGCAACGCCGCGUGGAGGAUGAAUGUCGUAAGAUUGUAAACUCCUGUUAGAGGGGAAGAAUAGUACCGGUUGGACCGGUAUAUGACUGUACCCUCAGAGAAAGCCCCGGCUAACUACGUGCCAGCAGCCGCGGUAAUACGUAGGGGGCAAGCGUGGUCCGGAUUUACUGGGUGUAAAGGGCGCGCAGGCGGGAUAAAAAGUCAGUGGUGAAAUCCUACAGCUUAACUGUAGAACUGCCUUUGAUACUUUUAUUCUUGAGUUCGGGAGAGAGAGACGGAAUUCCAGGUGUAGUGGUGAAAUACGUAGAUAUCUGGAAGAACACCAGUUGCGAAGGCGGUCUCUUGGUCCGACACUGACGCUGAGGCGCGAAAGCGUGGGGAGCAAACAG